rnacentral:rRNA from 1 species
GAUGAACGCCGGCGGCGUGCCUAAUACAUGCAAGUCGAGCGAAUGGAUUGAGAGCUUGCUCUUAUGAAGUUAGCGGCGGACGGGUGAGUAACACGUGGGUAACCUGCCCAUAAGACUGGGAUAACUCCGGGAAACCGGGGCUAAUACCGGAUAACAUUUUGAACCGCACGGUUCGAAAUUGAAAGGCGGCUUCGGCUGUCACUUAUGGAUGGACCCGCGUCGCAUUAGCUAGUUGGUGAGGUAACGGCUCACCAAGGCAACGAUGCGUAGCCGACCUGAGAGGGUGAUCGGCCACACUGGGACUGAGACACGGCCCAGACUCCUACGGGAGGCAGCAGUAGGGAAUCUUCCGCAAUGGACGAAAGUCUGACGGAGCAACGCCGCGUGAGUGAUGAAGGCUUUCGGGUCGUAAAACUCUGUUGUUAGGGAAGAACAAGUGCUAGUUGAAUAAGCUGGCACCUUGACGGUACCUAACCAGAAAGCCACGGCUAACUACGUGCCAGCCGCCGCUGUAA